rnacentral:ncRNA from 1 species
AGUAACACGUAGAAGAGAUUAGUACUUCAUACUUCCUGUUUAGAGAGUUCGCGGUAGGUGCAAGCGAAUCUGAAAGUUGAACGAAUCUACUCUUUAGUGGUGCUAAUCACACCCGUCGCCCCGCGUUAAGGGAUUCAAGGGCUAGAGUUUUCUCUAGAACUAAGGUGGUACCGCGAUGACUCGUCCUUAGA